CCUACGGGUGGCAGCAGUGAGGAAUAUUGGUCAAUGGCCGGAAGGCUGAACCAGCCAAGCCGCGUGAGGGACGACUGCCCUAUGAGUUGUAAACCUCUUUUAUAAGGGAAGAAGAAAUGCUACGUGUAUCAUGAUGCCUGUACCUUAUCAAUAAGGAUCGGCUAACUCCGUGCCAGCAGCCGCGGUAAUACGGAGGAUGCGAGCGUUAUCCGGUUUUAUUGGGUUUAAGGGGUGCGUAGGCGGUUUUUUAAGUUAGUGGUUAAAGGUCGGGGCUUAACCUUGAAUUGCCAUUAAUAAUGUACGACUAGAGUGCAGAUGAGGUAGGCGGAAUAUGUUGUGUAGCGGUGAAAUGCUUAGAGAUAACACAGAACACCGAUUGCGAAGGCAGCUUACUAAACUGUGACUGACGUUGAUGCUCGAAAGUGUGGGGAUCAAACAGGAUUAGAUACCCCAGUAGUC
rnacentral:rRNA from 1 species